rnacentral:rRNA from 1 species
GACGAACGCUGGCGGCGUGCUUAACACAUGCAAGUCGUACGGUAAGGCCCUUUCGGGGGUACACGAGUGGCGAACGGGUGAGUAACACGUGAGUAACCUGCCCACAACUUUGGGAUAACGCUAGGAAACUGGUGCUAAUACUGGAUAUGUGCUCCUGCUGCAUGGUGGGGGUUGGAAAGCUCCGGCGGUUGUGGAUGGACUCGCGGCCUAUCAGCUUGUUGGUGGGGUAGUGGCCUACCAAGGCGGCGACGGGUAGCCGGCCUGAGAGGGUGACCGGCCACAUUGGGACUGAGAGACGGCCCAGACUCCUACGGGAGGCAGCAGUGGGGAAUAUUGCACAAUGGGCGCAAGCCUGAUGCAGCAACGCCGCGUGCGGGAUGACGGCCUUCGGGUUGUAAACCGCGUUCAGCAGGGACGAAGCUUUUUGUGACGGUACCUGCAGAAGAAGCACCGGCUAACUACGUG